rnacentral:rRNA from 1 species
UGCAAGCGUUAUCCGGAUUCAUUGGGUUUAAAGGGAGCGUAGGCGGCCUUGUAAGUCAGUGGUGAAAUCUCUCGGCUUAACUGAGAAACUGCCAUUGAUACUGCAGGGCUUGAGUACAGUUGCCGUUGGCGGAAUAUGACAUGUAGUGGUGAAAUACAUAGAGAUGUCAUAGAACACCGAUUGCGAAGGCAGCUGACGAAACUGUAACUGACGCUGAGGCUCGAAAGUGUGGGGAUCAAACAGG